rnacentral:rRNA from 1 species
GACGAACGCUGGCGGCGUGCUUAACACAUGCAAGUCGAACGGAAAGGCCCUGCUUUUGUGGGGUGCUCGAGUGGCGAACGGGUGAGUAACACGUGAGUAACCUGCCCUUGACUUUGGGAUAACUUCAGGAAACUGGGGCUAAUACCGGAUAGGAGCUCCUGCUGCAUGGUGGUGGUUGGAAAGUUUCGGCGGUUGGGGAUGGACUCGCGGCUUAUCAGCUUGUUGGUGGGGUAGUGGCUUACCAAGGCUUUGACGGGUAGCCGGCCUGAGAGGGUGACCGGCCACAUUGGGACUGAGAUACGGCCCAGAAUCCUACGGGAGGCAGCAGUGGGGAAUAUUGCACAAUGGGCGGAAGCCUGAUGCAGCAACGCCGCGUGCGGGAUGACGGCCUUCGGGUGGUAAACCGCUUUCGCCUGUGACGAAGCGUGAGUGACGGUAAUGGGUAAAGAAGCACCGGCUAACUACGUG